GUGCCAGCCGCCGCGGUAAUACCGGCAGCCCAAGUGAUGGCCGCUGUUAUUGGGCCUAAAGCGUCCGUAGCUGGCCGCACGAGUCCGUCGGGAAAUCCGCCCGCUCAACGGGCGGCCGUCCGGCGGAACCUGUGUGGCUUGGGACCGGGAGGCGCGACGGGUACGUCCGGGGUAGGAGUGAAAUCCCGUAAUCCUGGACGGACCGCCGAUGGCGAAAGCACGUCGCGAGAACGGGUCCGACAGUGAGGGACGAAAGCCAGGGUCUCGAACCGGAUUAGAAACCCCAGUAGUCC
rnacentral:rRNA from 1 species